GACGAACGCUGGCGGCGUGCUUAACACAUGCAAGUCGUACGGUAAGGUCCUGUCGGGGGUACACGAGUGGCAGACGCGGGAGUAACACGAGCAUAACCUGAACACACCUUUGGGAUAACGAUAGGAAACUGAUACUAAUACUAGUAAUGUGCAAUUGAUGCAUGGGGGGGGUUGGAUAGUUCCGGCGGUUAUUGAUGUAAUCGCGAGCUAUCAGCUUGCUGGUGGGGUAGUGGCGUACCAAAGCGGCGACGGGUAGCAGGCCUGAGGAGGUGACCGGCCACACUGGGACUGAGAGACGGCCGAGACUGCUACGGGAGGCAGCAGUGGGGAAUAUUGCACGAGGGGCGCAGGCCUGAUGCAGCAGCGCCGCGGGCGGGAUAACGGCCUUCGUGUUGUAAACCGCUUUCAGCAGGGACGAAGCUUGUUGUGACGGUACCUGCAGAAGAAGCACCGGCUAACUACGUG
rnacentral:rRNA from 1 species